rnacentral:lncRNA from 1 species
GUUGGGAUAAGAAGUUACCCUUUGCUGGUGCAGAUUGGUGGGGAGUGUUUUAUGUGGACAUAGCUGGGUUCGAGGCGUGGACAUACUCAAGGAUGGCUCUAUGUUUUAUGUCUACUGGAAAUUGUAAAAUGCUGGUACGUUGGGAACAUCCAUAUACAGAUGACGGGACAAUUUCUUCAGGAGGUUUUUGCAAGCUAAAGUUGUGAAAAGCAGUCGUUUGAAACUCAUUAAGUGA